AUUGAACGCUGGCGGCAGGCUUAACACAUGCAAGUCGAGCGGGGUGAUGGUGCUUGCACUAUCACUUAGCGGCGGACGGGUGAGUAAUGCUUAGGAAUCUGCCUAUUAGUGGGGGACAACAUUUCGAAAGGAAUGCUAAUACCGCAUACGUCCUACGGGAGAAAGCAGGGGAUCUUCGGACCUUGCGCUAGUAGAUGAGCCUAAGUCGGAUUAGCUAGUUGGUGGGGUAAAGGCCUACCAAGUCGACGAUCUGUAUCGGGUCUGAGAGGAGGAACCGACGAACGGGGAGUGAGACAGGGCCGAAACGCUUACGGGAGGCAGGAGUGGGGAAUAUUGGGUAAGGGGCGGAAGCCUGUUCCAGCCAGGACGCGCGGGUGAAGAAGGCCUUAUGUUUGUGAAGCACUUUAAGCGAGGAGGAGACUAAUUUAGUUAAUACCUAGAGAUAGUGGACGUUACUCGCAGAAUAAGCACCGGCUAACUCUGUGCCAGCAGCCGCCGCAGUAA
rnacentral:rRNA from 1 species